rnacentral:tRNA from 1 species
GAGGGUGUAGCUCAGUGGUAGAGCGCCUGCCUAGCAUACACAAGGUCCUAGGUUCGAUCCCCAGUACCUCUA